GUCUCCGUCGUCUAAUGGAUAGGACACGACUUUGCGGAAGUCGUAAUAGAGGUUCGAUUCCCCUCGGAGACACCA
rnacentral:tRNA from 1 species